UACGUAGGGUGCGAGCGUUAAUCGGAAUUACUGGGCGUAAAGCGUGCGCAGGCGGUUUGUUAAGACAGAUGUGAAAUCCCCGGGCUUAACCUGGGAACUGCAUUUGUGACUGGCAAGCUAGAGUAUGGCAGAGGGGGGGUAGAAUUCCACGUGUAGCAGUGAAAUGCGUAGAGAUGUGGAGGAAUACCGAUGGCGAAGGCAGCCCCCUGGGCCAAUACUGACGCUCAUGCACGAAAGCGUGGG
rnacentral:rRNA from 1 species